AGAAUCAACGCUGGCGGCGUGCCUAACACAUGCAAGUCGAACGAGAAAGUGGAGCAAUCCAUGAGUACAGUGGCGACCGGGUGAGUAACACGUGACUACCUACCCUUGAGUGGGGGAUAACCUCGGGAAACCGAGGCUAAUACCGCAUAAUAUCGAGAGAUCAAAGGAGUAAUCCGCUUUUGGAGGGGGUCGCGGCUGAUUAGCUAGUUGGUAGGGUAAUGGCCUACAAAGGCGAAGAUCGGUAUCCGGCCUGAGAGGGCGCACGGACACACUGGAACUGAAACACGGUCCAGACUCCUACGGGAGGCAGCAGUGGGAAUUUUGCGCAAUGGGGGAAACCCUGACGCAGCAACGCCGCGUGGAGGAUGAAGCCCCUUGGGGUGUAAACUCCGUUUCGACCGGGAAAAUAAUGAUGGUACCGGUGGAAGAAGCACCGGCUAACUCUGUGCCAGCAGCCGC
rnacentral:rRNA from 1 species